CCUCGUGAAUUCAUCUCCGGGGGUAGAGCACUGUUUCGGCAAGGGGGUCAUCCCGACUUACCAACCCGAUGCAAACUGCGAAUACCGGAGAAUGUUAUCACGGGAGACACACGGCGGGUGCUAACGUCCGUCGUGAAGAGGGAAACAACCCAGACCGCCAGCUAAGGUCCCAAAGUCAUGGUUAAGUGGGAAACGAUGUGGGAAGGCCCAGACAGCCAGGAUGUUGGCUUAGAAGCAGCCAUCAUUUAAAGAAAGCGUAAUAGCUCACUGGUCGAGUCGGCCUGCGCGGAAGAUGUAACGGGGCUAAACCAUGCACCGAAGCUGCGGCAGCGACACUAUGUGUUGUUGGGUAGGGGAGCGUUCUGUAAGCCUGUGAAGGUGUGCUGUGAGGCAUGCUGGAGGUAUCAGAAGUGCGAAUGCUGACAUAAGUAACGAUAAAGCGGGUGAAAAGCCCGCUCGCCGGAAGACCAAGGGUUCCUGUCCAACGUUAAUCGGGGCAGGGUGAGUCGACCCCUAAGGCGAGGCCGAAAGGCGUAGUCGAUGGGAAACAGGUUAAUAUUCCUGUACUUGGUGUUACUGCGAAGGGGGGACGGAGAAGGCUAUGUUGGCCGGGCGACGGUUGUCCCGGUUUAAGCGUGUAGGCUGGUUUUCCAGGCAAAUCCGGAAAAUCAAGGCUGAGGCGUGAUGACGAGGCACUACGGUGCUGAAGCAACAAAUGCCCUGCUUCCAGGAAAAGCCUCUAAGCAUCAGGUAACAUCAAAUCGUACCCCAAACCGACACAGGUGGUCAGGUAGAGAAUACCAAGGCGCUUGAGAGAACUCGGGUGAAGGAACUAGGCAAAAUGGUGCCGUAACUUCGGGAGAAGGCACGCUGAUAUGUAGGUGAAGCGACUUGCUCGUGGAGCUGAAAUCAGUCGAAGAUACCAGCUGGCUGCAACUGUUUAUUAAAAACACAGCACUGUGCAAACACGAAAGUGGACGUAUACGGUGUGACGCCUGCCCGGUGC
rnacentral:rRNA from 1 species